AUUGAACGCUGGCGGCAUGCCUUACACAUGCAAGUCGAACGGCAGUCACGGGAGCAAUCCUGGUGGCGAGUGGCGAACGGGUGAGUAAUAUAUCGGAACGUGCCCGGUCGUGGGGAUAACGUAGCGAAAGCUACGCUAAUACCGCAUACGAUCUACGGAUGAAAGCGGGGGAUCGCAAGACCUCGCGCGAUUGGAGCGGCCGACUAUCAGAUUAGGUAGUUUGGUGAGGUAAAGGCUCACCCAAGCCGACGAUCUGUAGCUGGUCUGAGAGGACGACCAG
rnacentral:rRNA from 1 species